rnacentral:rRNA from 1 species
CUACGGGUGGCUCCAGUAAGGAAUAUUGGACAAUGGACGCAAGUCUGAUCCAGCCAUGCCGCGUGAAGGAUUAAGGUCCUCUGGAUUGUAAACUUCUUUUAUAAGGGACGAAAAAAGGUCUUUCUAGAUCGUCUGACGGUACCUUAUGAAUAAGCACCGGCUAACUCCGUGCCAGCAGCCGCGGUAAUACGGAGGGUGCAAGCGUUAUCCGGAUUCACUGGGUUUAAAGGGUGCGUAGGCGGGCAGGUAAGUCAGUGGUGAAAUCCUAGAGCUCAACUCUAGAACUGCCAUUGAUACUAUCUGUCUUGAAUAUUGUGGAGGUAAGCGGAAUAUGUCAUGUAGCGGUGAAAUGCUUAGAUAUGACAUAGAACACCUAUUGCGAAGGCAGCUUACUACGCAUAUAUUGACGCUGAGGCACGAAAGCGUGGGGAUCAAACAGGAUUAGAUACCCUGGUAGUC